CCUCAAAAAUAAAUAAAUAAAUAAAUACGUAAAUUCCAGAUUUCAGGACCAGUACUAUGUUAAGUACCUCACCUACUUCAUAGGUUUAAAAGAGUGGCCACCUAGUCCGGGCAUCAUAGCAAGACCUCAUCUCUACUAAAAGUAAAAAAAAAAUCAGCUAGAUGCCGUGGCGCAUGCCUGUCAUUCCAGCUACUUGGUAGCUGAUGUGGAAGGAUCGCUUGAGGCUGGGAGAUCAAGCCUGCAGUGAGCCGUGAUCACGCCACUGCAUACCAGCCUAGGUGACAGAGCGAGACCCUGUCUCAAAAAAAGGAAAAAAAAACGUGGUCACUGAAAAGCCCCUUUUACCAACAUGUCUUUCUCCCAUGGCUUUCAGAGACCUAAAAUUUCCAUCUUUAUACAUCUGUUCCUACAGCCCCUUUAACAUCUGUAAAAACUCCAGAAGUAUUAUACUGGUAAUACCCUUGUAUGAAUGGAUUUGUUGUAGAUUUUUUUUAAAAUCACCUAUCAGAAGACCUUGGGAAAAUAUUUAGCAUUGCUCAUGGUGUAAGGGGUACUCUCUGGGAGGCUAGAGACAGAUGAAACAAAGCAAUGCAGCUUUUCCUCCUAGUUCCUGCUUAAACACUGUGACAUUCACUAAGAACUCACAAUUUACAAGAUAUCUUGAAGGCACAUAGGGUUUUAAAGGUGAAUAUAGAUUGCAAUAUUUGCCCUUAGAACUUAGCAGAGAGACAAUCACAAAUACUUGUAAUAUGAUGCAACUGCUCUAAUAGAAGCAUGAGAAUUAUGUAUGUAAAGCACCCAGCCCAGAUGCUUAGCACAGAGGAAUUGCUUUCUUCUCCCUGUUCCUCUGUAGGAGUCCAAGAAAGCUUCAGAGAGAAGCACUCUGUCUUGGAGGAUAAGUAGAAAUCUUCCAAGCAAAGAGCUGGAGAUGACAAUGGUGUGCUGGUGAAUGUUCAACUGGCAUUCCAGGAGGGGGACAAAAGCCGUGAUUGUAUCACUUGCCAAUUUCCAUGGUGUAAAUACUCCUCCUGCAGCAAAUCUCAAGCUACCAACAUGAUGUCACUGAACACGGAGUUGGGACUAGAAGUGUCUAAGCUAGUUAGAGCAGCUCCAGCACACCAUAGGGAGACCAGAUGAAAGAAACAGCCCGUGAACUGAAAACAUCUGGUGAUGAGUUGGCUAUUGUCCCACAUAGUGUGAGAGAGGGGCUGGGAGAGAGAUGAAAAUAGAGAAGCAUGCACAGUCUAAACCAGAAUCUGCAAAGAGAAAAGCAGGUAUAGCCUGUGAUGGGAGAAACAGGUCAGGAAAGAAGAAUUUGGAAAACAGUUCAGAAAUAGAUCACAAAACGCAGUGAACUUUUGUAAUUUUAUGUUCUAUGCAACUAAUCAUGAUCUAAACAAUCCAUGUUUUAAAGAAAUAACUCAGCCAGGCGUGGUGGAUCAGUAGCCUCUGAUCCCAGCUACUCUGGAGGCAGAGGAAGGGGAAUCGCUUGAACUCAGGAGACUGAGAUCACGCCACUGCACUCUAGCCUAGGUGACAGAGUGAGACUCCGUCUCAAAAAUAAAUAAACAAAUUUUCAAAAUAAAGAUCUAGGCUGACAAUGUUUGGCAUCUUUGGGACACAACUCAGCAUUUCACAGGGUGUGUAUAUCCCACCUCAAGGGGUUCUUUCACUCAGGCCUUUAGAGAACAAAGAAAGGAAACAAUAAAAAUAACUAAAAAAUACCAGUAAAUAUAAACUAUACAAUGUACUGCAUAGCUUUACCAAGCAUAAAUGUGUAUGUGUACCUUUUUAUAUGGUGAAUUCUUUUAUGAAUCCCUGUUCCUCCACAACAGGGAAUAUUUCUCCGCUUCUGCUUCUUAUUGCUAAUUCUUCUUGCUUGUUCCUGAGAAUAACACUGGUCCUAUUAAGCUCUCAGAUCUGUUCUGUAUUUGCUUGAUGUUCAAUUAUGUAAGUGCUCACCCCCUUUAACCACAGGAACGUUUGUUUCUGCAGCUGCAGUGCCCUGCUGCUUGCAUGCCAAGCCAGAUUUCCAUGGCCGAAGCAUUGGAACUGAGUGCAACAUUUACCUUGGAGGUGCCACAGUUUCUCAGGUCUCCUGCUUCUGUAUUUGACACUGGCGGCAUGGCCACGUGGUUGAUGGGCCCUGGGUCUACAUUAGCUGACUGGUCUAAAGCCUCCCUGACCUCGUUCUAGUUCCCUUGCUAAUAGCAGCCCACAAGAUGGUCACAUAAGUGCAGCUGCUGUGGUUUUGCUGCAGGUUUCUGUGAUCGUUUUGUAGGUACAGGCAUCUACCCGUGGGAGGUCCUGCAAUUUAUACAGGAAGAUGUGCAUGUGAUAGUGUCUGCAGAUCCCAUACUGACUCAUUUUUUCCUGUUUUCCUCUUCCUUCUGUUCUUGGUGUCAGAACCAAGCACUUGUUACUAAAGGCUGGGACUGCAUAGCCCAGGGCCUUUAACUCUAUCGCCACCAGCAGGUGGGUGUAGCCGCAGUAUCAAGGGAGCUGGGGAGAGCAGGGGAGGGGAGGGAAGGAAUCCAUUGCUCCUUCUCAGGUUUCCUCAAUCUAAGCGCAAAUCCUAGGAGGAAAGGUCCACUCACUUCCUCCCACACAUGCUGGUAUUAGCGCUGACCCUUCUUCUCCAGCCAAUCUGGAAUGCGGUGGUUAUGAGUGUGGGCCCUCAGUCAGACCACCUGAUUCAAACCUCGCUUUGCAGGGUGACCUUGGUAAGAUUGCCAAAUUUAGCAAAAACAAACAAAUGCAAACUGGAUACCUAUUUAAAUCUGAAUGGCAGAUAAACAAUGAAUUUUAGUAUGAGUACAUCCCAUGCAAUAUUUCUACUAAGAGAUUAUUUAUUAUUUAUUACAUUUAUCUGGGUGUCUAGUAUUUUACCUGGCAACCUAGACCUCAGGCAAGUUACUUUACCCCUCUAGGCCCACAUUUCCUUAUCCAGAACUUGAAAAUAAUUGCACUGCCUACCUGAAAGUGUUGUCUUGAGGAUUAAAUGGGAUAAUGUAGAAUGUUAGGGAAGUGCCUGCAGGCACACAUUUGAUAAGUGUUAAGUGGAUAUUCAACAUAGUAUGGUGGAUAUUCAGUAUAGUAUAGUAUAGUAUAGUAUAGUAUAGUAUAGUAUAGUAUAGUAUAGUAUAGUACAGCACAGCACAGCACAGCACAGCAAAGUACAGUACAGUACAGUACAGUACAGUACAGUAUAGUAUAGUAUAGUAUAGUAUAGUAUAUGCAUGGCCUUGGGAGGCACACAGACCAGGUUCAAACCCUCCUCUGUCACUUGCCUGCAUUGUGACCUUGGGCAAGUUAUUUAACUUCUCUGCGCCUCAGUAAUCAUCUUCUACAGAAUGGGGAUAAUUGUAGUCUUUACCUUAUGAUGUUGAGUGGAGUAAAUAAGACAAUACAUGGAAAUCAGCACAAUGCCUGGUAAAUGUAAUAAAUAGUAUUCUACGUAUUAAAUAGUGAUAAGAACAUUAUAUAAAUUGUUUACCUCCUCCAAGACCCUCCUUACCCCCUCCAUCCACCAUCUUUGUUGCAAAGCUUCUCUGUCCUAUUCCAGCGGGCACUGAUUUUUCCUUCCUCUGAAUUUCUGCAGUCCUUGCUGAUCUUACCACCACAGGAACCUUGAUUAUACUCUGCCCUGCACUGUUUGUUAACUAUCCCAUUUAUGGAUGCCUUUUCUCAUUGGUCAAAACCUGGAGGCCUUGGGCUUCUUCUCCAGCUCCUCCCUUAACUGCUGGGCACCACUAUCAGUAGAUAUCUGUUGCCUAACUUAUUAGUGCCAUUGUCAUGGAUUUGUGGGCCAAGAGAAAAAGUCAAACCUACCUAUCCAAUGACCUACUUCUUGAAAUCUACCGGCAGGGAAAAAAGGUCCUGUUUAAAAUGUUACUGUAGGCUGGGUGUGGUGGCUCAUGCCUGUAAUCCCGGCACUUUGGGAGGCUGAGGCCGGUGGACCACCUGAGGUCAGGAGUUUGAGACCAGCCUGGCCAACAUGGCAACACCCCAUCUCUACUAAAAAUACAAAAAUUAGCCAGGUGUGGUGGAGGUGCGUGUAAUCCCAGUUACUUGGGAGGCUGAGGCAGGAGAAUUGCUUGAACCCAGGAGGCUGAGGUUGCAGUGAGCCGAGAUCGCUCCACUACACUCCAGCCUGGGUGACAAAGCAAGACUCUGUCUCAAAAAAAUAAAUAAAUAAUAAAAUAAAAUGUCAGUGUAGGUUUUCCUGCGCAUGUAGAACCCUGGAGAAAUAAUACCAAGUGUCAGGUUUGCCACUGUCCUGAGCAUAGUCAAGCACAGCAUUAAGGGGCAUGCUGUCCCUGGCCUGUGUCUAGGUUUCUUUCAUGGGUAGGCAACUUCUCUCGAAUCCUGCUAUUGGUGCUUGAAACAUUAAGAUACUCAGCACAGGGCUACUCUAUCAAUGACAAUGCAUAGGAAACAUUGCCUGACUUUAACAAGAUACAAAAACAGGAUUUUUUUUUUUUUUUUUUUUUUGAGGAGACAAAGUCUCACUCUGUCGCCCAGGCUGGAGUGCAGUGGUGCAAUCUCAACUCACUACAACCUCCGCCUCCUGGGUUCAUGCCAUUCUCCUGCCUCAGCCUCCCGAGUAGCUGGGACUACAGGCACGUGCCACCAAGCCCGGCUAAUUUUUUGUAUUUUUAAUAGAGACGGGGUUUCUCAGUGUUAGCCAGGAUGGUCUUGAUCUCCUGACCUUGUGAUCCACCUGCCUUGGCCUCCCAAAGUGUUGGGAUUACAGGCGUGAGCCACCGUGCCUGGCCCAAAAACAGGAUUUUUUUUGGUACAUCUGAAACAUGAUAACAAUAGUAAAAUCGCUAUACCAGCGACACUCAACUUUGGCUAUUAGAAUCACCUGGGGAGCUUAAAAAGCUACCAAGAUGCUGAUUGAUUUGGCCUGUGUUGGGGACCUGCAUAUCAGGAGUUUUAAAACCUUCCCAGGUGAUUCUCAUGAGCAGCUUCUCUGCAGUAUGACUGCUUUAAAUGUAAACUGCAUGGCUUGCCUGACGUGGUUUUUGCAAAGUACAGAAUGUUUCAGAAUUGGCUGUAGGUUAAGACCUAAAUACCUUUUUUUUUUUUUGCUUCUGGACAGUAGGUAAAACAACUCUAAAAUGACCUGAUGUUCUUCCAAAUUACUGUGUAAUUAACUAUCGCCAAACAAACUUCUUGUAAGACUUUGCAGCGGUAUUUUCCAAUAUCCUGUUCAGCCACUAACUGAGAGCCAGUUUUCCAGUGUGGGGUAAACCUUGGUUCAUGGACACUGAUUACUACAAUCACCUGGUGGCCCAGGAAGGAAAGAACAGAGGUCACAAAACUAGUCUGCUAGAGAGGCUGGGAGGCUUGGAGCAGAGCUUUCCAAAUUUUAACGUGCACAUGAAUCACCUGGUGGUGGUGGGCAGGGGUCUUGUUAAUACCCAGAUGCUGAUUCGGUAGGUCUGGGGAAGGGCCUGAGAGUCUGCAUUUUGUUUUUGUUUGUUUGUUUUGAGACGGAGUCUCGCUCUGUCACCCAGGCUGGAGUGCAGUGGUGCGAUCUCGGCUCACUGCAACCUCCGCCUCCCGGGUUCAAGCAAUUCUCCUGCCUCAGUCUCCCGAGUAGCUGGGACUACAGGUGCCCGCCACCACACCUAGCUAAUUUUUUUUGUAUUUUUAGUAGAGACAGGGGUUUCACCAUAUUGGCCAGGCUGGUCUCGAACUCCUGACCUUGUGAUCUGCCUGCCUUGGCCUCCCAAAGUGCUGGGAUCACAGGCAUGAGCCACCGUGCCUGGUCGAGUUUGCAGUUUUAACAACCUCCCAGGUGGAGCCAAUUCUGCCAGUCCAGGGACCACAUUGGGAUAGCAAAGCCUUGGAGAAAUCUGGUUUACACAGCUUUUUAAAAUUUGCAAUGCCUUAGGCAAGGACUUCAUGUCUAAAACAACAAAAGC
rnacentral:lncRNA from 1 species